UAAUUGAAAAGAUACAUACAAAAAAUUCUAAAAAUAUUUAUUUGAAAGGAAUAUUGAUUGUUUCUAGAAUAAAUAAGAAGGGUCCAAUCAGCAUGGGGAUAUUUUGAUUUUUCUUGUGUGUAACUAAAAUAGUUUUUCUCUAAAAUAAUUAAGAAGAGUUUAGUUGGCAUGGAGAUAUUUCAAUGUUUUUAACAUUAACAUAUUUAGUAAAAUAAUUUUUUCAUGAAAUACUUAAGAAGAGUCCAAGAUGUGAAUAUUUUUCCCAUUUUUCUAAAGUAGUUAAGAAGAGCAUGGGGAGGGAAAAUUUUCAUAUUUCUCUAAAAUAAUAAGAAAGAGUCUAAGUUUUUUUUUUCCUCUACAUGCAUAUUUUUCCCUAGCUCCCUUAAUACCUUUUCCUAAAAUAAUUUUCAAUUGAUGGUAUAACAUAUUAAGAUAAGAAGGGUGUGGAAAUUUUUUAUCUACAUGUGUAAUUUAUAAAAAAAAUUUCAUACUACAAUAUUUUUCCUAAAAUAAUAUAGGCAUGGGAUAUAAUAUAUUAUACUUAAAUAUCUUUAACAUGGAACAUUUCAAUGUUAACGUAUUUAGUAAAACAAUUAAUUUUUAAAAUAAUUAUUAAGAGUCCAAGGUGUGAAUAUUUUUUUCUUUUUUCCCAAGGACUUGUUUGGUCGGGGAUAAUCUAGCUUGGAAAAAUAAAUUUUAUAUCAAAUUAUUUUAUUUGGUGUGAAAGUGGAUGAGAGAGAUGGUAAAAUAAAUGAUGGAUUCCAUAUCUAUUUUUCUAAGAGAGAAGUAAUAUAAAUAGCAUGAAUAUUUAUUUUCCCAUGCUAAAUUAUCAAGCGACAGAAAUAUAAAAUUAUUAAUUUUUAAUAAAA
rnacentral:lncRNA from 1 species